AACUUUUUCCCAAGGAACAAAGCAAUGGGCUUCAAAUUACGGUCUUUGGGGAGAAAGGCAGAGAGUGUAUUAUUUGAGAAGAUCAUCUUGAGAGGCCAUUGUUGAUAUGAGGUGAGAGCAUCAUGUCUCAAAGAGCAUGGGUCUGACCAUAUCACAUCCUUCCCUUCUGCCCACAAGAAGUUAUAUGAGGAUACUGAAGAGGCCUGGAUGGUGAUCCCUUCCACCUACCAGACCAGGACUUCCUUCCACCAUUCCAGCUUGGCUGAUUGGCAACACCCAGGCUCAAGACUGCUUUUCACAUAGGAUGGGAUGUUCUCUGGCCUGUUACACAUUCUGCCUAUCCUGCCCCUUCAGCAACGUGAUUCCCAUUCUUGCCCUCUCUUUCCUAUCCUGAUCAUGAUAUUAUGUGGUAUGUUCUAUAAGAAAGAGAAGCUGGCAGAGGGAACAGAAAAAGGAGUCUCUCCCCACUUGAGACAUUCUUCAGCACACAGUUGUAAUUCUUUAACCUAUGGUAAAUUCCCAAGGACUGACCACUUUCACUAGACUUUGCUGUUCUAUAGAGUGCUUAGGUGCAGACCUAAAGAAAGCAAGUGUCCUUAUGGUCCUCACAGCCUCAUGAGCAAUGGCUUAAUAAUAAAGCAAUGGUGUCUUGUUUCAAACUCUUUAAAAGAUGCCCAUUGGAGGGACUCCCUUGAGGUUCUACUAGCAUUUCAUGUUUUACCCCAGUGGUGAAUAGGUGAGUACGUUUAGUUAGAUAAAAGCAAUCAAGCCUAAGACUUAUGACUUAGGCCUUCUCUGGUAUACAUGCUAUAUUUUAAAGGUGUUUCCUAAAACCUUAAAUGAAAUACAUAUGAUCUGCCCCCCACCCAAUGUUUCUUGACAAGCAGAGAUUAUGGUAGGAUCCCAGCACUGAGUCACCUCUUAGGCUAGGGACCUUGCUCAUCGCACAUCCUACAUAACCAUAAAUGGCCAUCCUCACCUUACCCAACAGUGGGGGAGAUGGGCUUUCUGCCUCAUGCUUGGCACCUACAAGCAGAGCCAGCUCUUUAUUUCUAUUGCUAGUUAUGGCUCUGCUGUGUAACACAGUGAAGAGGUGGCUGGAGCAAAUCAACUGCAGCUGAAGCUGGAAAGCUCAGGUACUUGAACUUAAUCUGCUGCUCUUUGCCACAACAAAGAACAGUUUGGUAGCAGCUCCCUGUGGCAGAGACAAUUUGGUGUUGGCUAUAAAUACAUGUAGGUGUGGAGUGUCUCAAGGUCAUCAGCGAGAUGACUUUUGAGCGGCUAAUAAAUGACAAUCCCUCAGCCACUAGUUUUGUAGCUUCUAUCUCUCUAUAAUGGUAUUUUCUUCCUUCUCUCCAGCACAGCUGUCUUGGGAGUGGACAACACGAUUCUUGUCACACAACUGGCAUUGGUUCCUAGACUGUGAAAAAGCAAUCAAAUUUGUUUCUGUUUUAUCUCACAGUAGUACUUGAAUGGGCUUCCUACCCCAAAUGAGUGAAAGGUGGAUGUGUUUCUUUGCAGUCUUCCUCUUUCCUUGCUUGUUUUUCUAGCCUGUCUCAAGCUGUCCACAUAUUGUAAGACAAGAUUCUCUCUGUGGCUCUUUUGAGAUGUCCAAGGCCAUAGCUCAUUAUAGCACAGGAACUUAAGU
rnacentral:lncRNA from 1 species